rnacentral:rRNA from 1 species
AGCGGCGGAUGGGUGAGUAACACGUGGGGAACCUGCCCCUAAGUCUGGGAUACCAUUUGGAAACAGGUGCUAAUACCGGAUAAUAAAGCAGAUCGCAUGAUCAGCUUUUGAAAGGCGGCGUAAGCUGUCGCUAAGGGAUGGCCCCGCGGUGCAUUAGCUAGUUGGUAAGGUAACGGCUUACCAAGGCGACGAUGCAUAGCCGAGUUGAGAGACUGAUCGGCCACAUUGGGACUGAGACACGGCCCAAACUCCUACGGGAGGCAGCAGUAGGGAAUCUUCCACAAUGGACGCAAGUCUGAUGGAGCAACGCCGCGUGAGUGAAGAAGGUUUUCGGAUCGUAAAGCUCUGUUGUUGGUGAAGAAGGAUAGAGGUAGUAACUGGCCUUUAUUUGACGGUAAUCAACCAGAAAGUCACGGCUAACUACGUGCCAGCAGCCGCGGUAAUACGUAGGUGGCAAGCGUUGUCCGGAUUUAUUGGGCGUAAAGCGAGCGCAGGCGGAAAAAUAAGUCUAAUGUGAAAGCCCUCGGCUUAACCGAGGAACUGCAUCGGAAACUGUUUUUUCUUGAGUGCAGAGGAGGAGAGUGGAACUCCAUGUGUAGCGGUGGAAUGCGUAGAUAUAUGGGAAGAACACCAGUGGCCGGAGGCCGCUCUCUGGUCUGCAACUGACGCUGAAGCUCGAAAGCAUUGGUUAGCGAACAGGGAUUAGAUACCCCUGGGUAGUCCAUUGCCCG